rnacentral:rRNA from 1 species
AGCUUGCUAUAAUUGUCAGCUAAGUGGCGCACGGGUGAGUAAUAUAUAGGUAACGUGCCCUAGANAGGGGGGAGUAACAGUUGGAAACGAUUGCUAACACCCCAUAUGCCUUUAUCCCAUAAGGGAGCAAGGGAAAUAUUUAUAGCUCUAGGAUCGGCCUGUACAGUAUCAGUUAGUUGGUGAGGUAAUGGCUCACCAAGACAAUGACGCUUAACUGGUUUGAGAGGAUGAUCAGUCACACUGGAACUGAGACACGGUCCAGACUCCUACGGGAGGCAGCAGUGGGGAAUAUUGCACAAUGGACGAAAGUCUGAUGCAGCAACGCCGCGUGGAGGAUAACACAUUUCGGUGCGUAAACUCCUUUUAUAUAGGAAGAUAAUGACGGUACUAUAUGAAUAAGCACCGGCUAACUCCGUG